CGCUAUCACUCCUACGGGAGGCAGCAGUAGGGAAUCUUCCACAAUGGACGAAAGUCUGAUGGAGCAACGCCGCGUGAACGAUGAAGGCUUUCGGGUCGUAAAGUUCUGUUGUAAGGGAAGAACAAGUGCCGCAGGCAAUGGCGGCACCUUGACGGUACCUUGCGAGAAAGCCACGGCUAACUACGUGCCAGCAGCCGCGGUAAUACGUAGGUGGCAAGCGUUGUCCGGAAUUAUUGGGCGUAAAGCGCGCGCAGGCGGCCUCUUAAGUCUGAUGUGAAAGCCCCCGGCUCAACCGGGGAGGGCCAUUGGAAACUGGGAGGCUUGAGUAUAGGAGAGAAGAGUGGAAUUCCACGUGUAGCGGUGAAAUGCGUAGAGAUGUGGAGGAACACCAGUGGCGAAGGCGACUCUUUGGCCUAUAACUGACGCUGAGGCGCGAAAGCGUGGGGAGCAAACAGGAUUAGAUACCCUGGUAG
rnacentral:rRNA from 1 species